rnacentral:rRNA from 1 species
AGUUGAACCUUGGGCCUGGCUGGCCGGUCCGCCUCACCGCGUGCACUGGUCCGGCCGGGUCUUUCCCUCUGGGGAGCCCUAUGCCCUUCACUGGGUGUAGUGGGGAACCAGAACUUUUACUGUGAAAAAAUUAGAGUGUUCAAAGCAGGCCUAUGCUCGAAUACAUUAGCAUGGAAUAAUAGAAUAGGACGUGUGGUUCUAUUUUGUUGGUUUCUAGGACCACCGUAAUGAUUAAUAGGGAUAGUCGGGGGCAUCAGUAUUCAAUUGUCAGAGGUGAAAUUCUUGGAUUUAUUGAAGACUAACUACUGCGAAAGCAUUUGCCAAGGAUGUUUUCAUUAAUCAGGAACGAAAGUUAGGGGAUCGAAGACGAUCAGAUACCGUCGUAGUCUUAACCAUAAACUAUGCCGACUAGGGAUCGGACGGUGGUAUUAUACUGCCCCGUUCGGCACCUUACGAGAAAUCAAAGUUUUUGGGUUCUGGGGGGAGUAUGGUCGCAAGGCUGAAACUUAAAGG